GAUGAAGAACGCAGCGAAAUGCGAUAACUAAUGUGAAUUGCAGAAUUCCGUGAAUCAUCGAGUCUUUGAACGCACAUUGCGCCCCCUGGUAUUCCGGGGGGCAUGCCUGUCCGAGCGUCAUUGCUGCCCUCAAGCACGGCUUGUGUGUUGGGCCCCGUCCUCCGAUCCCGGGGGACGGGCCCGAAAGGCAGCGGCGGCACCGCGUCCGGUCCUCGAGCGUAUGGGGCUUUGUCACCCGCUCUGUAGGCCCGGCCGGCGCUUGCCGAUCAACCCAAAUUUUUAUCCAGGUUGACCUCGGAUCAGGUAGGGAUACCCGCUGAACUUAAGCAUAUCAAUAAGCGGAGGA
rnacentral:misc_RNA from 1 species